GAUGAAGAACGCAGCGAAAUGCGAUAAGUAGUGUGAAUUGCAGAAUUCAGUGAAUCAUCGAAUCUUUGAACGCACAUUACGCCCCUUGGUAUUCCAUGGGGCAUGCCUGUUCGAGCGUCAUUUGUACCUUCAAGCUCUGCUUGGUGUUGGGUGUUUGUCUCGCCUCUGCGUGUAGACUCGCCUCAAAACAAUUGGCAGCCGGCGUAUUGAUUUCGGAGCGCAGUACAUCUCGCGCUUUGCACUCAUAACGACGACGUCCAAAAGUACAUUUUUACACUCUUGACCUCGGAUCAGGUAGGGAUACCCGCUGAACUUAAGCAUAUCAAUAAGCGGAGGA
rnacentral:misc_RNA from 1 species